GACGAACGCUGGCGGCGUGCCUAAUACAUGCAAGUAGAACGCACAGUUUAUACCGUAGCUUGCUACACCAUAGACUGUGAGUUGCGAACGGGUGAGUAACGCGUAGGUAACCUGCCUGGUAGCGGGGGAUAACUAUUGGAAACGAUAGCUAAUACCGCAUAAUAUUUAUUAUUGCAUGAUAAUUUAUUUAAAGUUGCUAUUGCAUCACUACCAGAUGGACCUGCGUUGUAUUAGCUAGUAGGUGAGGUAACGGCUCACCUAGGCGACGAUACAUAUCCGAACGGAGAGGGGGAACGGCAAAACUGGGACUGGGACAAGGCCCAGAAUCCUAAGGGAGGCAGCAGGAGGGAAACUUCGGAAAUGGACGAAAGUCUGAACGAGCAACGCAGCGGGAGUGAAGAAGGUUGUCGGAUCGUAAAGCUCUGUUGUAAGAGAAGAAAGGGAGUGAGAGUGGAAAGUUCACAAUGUGACGGUAGCUUAACAGAAAGGGACGGCUAACUACGUG
rnacentral:rRNA from 1 species